AUCCCGCACACCCCAACUUCAACCAGGCAGCUCUGCCCUUGUCUCCUUUAUAUAUUGGAAUUCUGAAUGAAACGUCACUGAAUUCUUGCUGCUUUAAAAAAAUAAGAGAGAGAAGAAACGUGUAUAAAUCCUGCCUACUGUCUCAUCUUACAGGUAAGUGGUACACCCAAAGCGACUUGCUAAGAGGCUUGUUCUCUUCUUCCCUGACUUCAGGGCCUCAGAGAAGACCAGAGCCUGCUGUUUCCAUCACCUGAAAGAAGACAAGGAAGCUGUCAGGAUUGUUAAAUCCCCCAAAGACACUCCGAGGGUGGCUGCCUGCCUGGCUUGGAGAGCCACACACACUGGCUUUUCCGUGCUGCCCACCUCAUGUGCCCCGUGCCAGGGCUCCGCUUUGGACCCGUCUAGAGUGGGGCCUGGGCAUUGGGCAGCAAGGUGAAACCACCGCCCACGGGAGGGGGCAUUUCGGGAAGCAGAGCUGGGUGAAGAGAUCGGCCCCACCACUGCCCGGGGAGCGCCUGGGUCCCAGCCCAGGAUGACCAGGGAGAAAGAUGAGAUCGGCCGCUGCACAAGCAGAUCUCCACCCAGCUGCGCCCCGCUGUGUGAUGACCGUCCCUGUGAAAGUCCAUUGUAAGACACAGACAGCAGGGCAGCUCCCCGCUGUGGGGAUGGAGAGGGUACCGGCCCUAUGAUCUCCCUGACUUCUCUUAUCUCAACUGACUGCCCAGUUAUAAAGGCAGACCCUUCAUUAUUCCCCAAACCCGAGCUGGCCCAAGACCAAGCGUCCCCAGACCCAGGCCUUGGGUCCCCACCUGGGCGGGUUGGAGGUUCCGGUCCACCCCCCCACCCCCACCCCAGCCUCUGAGAAGUUCUGAAAUAAUGAAAGGAGUGAAGGUGGUGGGGGAGGUGCCCAAAAUAAAGGCCUCUGAGGAUGA